CUGCUCGCUUCGGCAGCACACACACUAAAAUCGGGACGAUACCGAGGAGAUGAGCAUUGGCCCCUGUGCAAGGACGACACGCAAAUCCGCGAGGCGUUCCAUAGUUAA